CCCUUUCAAGCUGCGAUCAGUUCCACAAUCAGGAAGUGGGUUUUUCGAAGAUCUCCGUCGUGAUUAAGCGAUGUGGAACACCAUGAAGUUGCUUAAAAUCUUAAACUUAGAAUAGAGAGGCCCUCAAAAGAAGGUGACUUAAGUUUUGAACUUCAGCACUGUGCUAGUUCUAAGCUUGAACGAGGUUGAUUCUAAACAUUAAUCAUGGUCGUUAUCAAGCCUCUUUUGCAGCUUGAAGACUCUCGAGCCUUGUUGACUUCUCAAGCAAUUCAAUCUUGGUUCUCUCCAGUUCCCUACAUCAUAAAAGUAGAAUAAAACAAACAGCGUAAACAAAGAUGCUGAAGGUAGGCAAAGUAGAAGAAGUCACAGCUGCCCACCUUUUGGCCUGCUGUAGAUUUAAAAAGUAUCUGCUGGCAUGAGGUUGGAAACCUCCACAAAACCCUAAAAUGAUGUGAGCUAUUAAGGCGAGGAUCAAGUGUAACCCAUAUAAAAGUACUGCAAUUUACUUGUCUUGUAUUGUUCACUUGGAAAACUGAAUAAAGGUGAAGAGGGAGUUGUCUUGGAAG